GGUUACCUACGGGGGGCAGCAGUGGGGAAUAUUGCACAAUGGGGGGAACCCUGAUGCAGCGACGCCGCGUGAGUGAAGAAGUAUUUCGGUAUGUAAAGCUCUAUCAGCAGGGAGGAAGAUGACGGUACCUGACUAAGAAGCCCCGGCUAACUACGUGCCAGCAGCCGCGGGAAUACGCAGGGGGCAAGCGUUAUGCGGAUUUACUGGGUGAAAAGGGAGCGGAGACGGCAGGGCAA
rnacentral:rRNA from 1 species